rnacentral:rRNA from 1 species
CACAUGCAAGUCGAGGGCGAUCAGGAGACUAGCUUGCUAGUUCGCUGGCGACCGGCGCACGGGUGCGUAACACGUAUCCAACCUACCCAUGGCUCAGGGAUAGCCUUUCGAAAGAAAGAUUAAUACCUGAUGGUUCCUUCACCCGCAUGGGUGUAUGAAUAAAGAUUCAUCGGCGAUGGAUGGGGAUGCGUCCGAUUAGCUUGUUGGCGGGGUAACGGCCCACCAAGGCGACGAUCGGUAGGGGCUCUGAGAGGAGGAUCCCCCACACUGGAACUGAGACACGGUCCAGACUCCUACGGGAGGCAGCAGUGAGGAAUAUUGGUCAAUGGGCGAAGGCCUGAACCAGCCCAAGUAGCGUGAGGGACGACUGCCCUAUGGGUUGUAAACCUCUUUUGUUUGGGAAUAAAGGACCCCACGUGUGGGGUUUUGCAUGUACCUUACGAAUAAGCAUCGGCUAAUUCCGUGCCAGCCGCGGC